GACGAACGCUGGCGGCGCGCUUAACACAUGCAAGUCGAACGGAAAGGCCUGCUUUCCCUUGUGGAUUGCGGGUACUCGAGUGGCGAACGGGUGAGUAACACGUGAGUGAUCUGCCCCCAACUUGGGUAUAAGCCUGGGAAACUGGGUCUAAUUCCCGAUAGGACUGCAGGGUGGUGCCUGUGGUGGAAAACGAUUUUCUAGUGGUUGGGGAUGAGCUCGCGGCCUAUCAGCUUGUUGGUGGGGUAAUGGCCUACCAAGGCGGCGACGGGUAGCCGGCCUGAGAGGGUGGACGGCCACAUUGGGACUGAGAUACGGCCCAGACUCCUACGGGAGGCAGCAGUGGGGAAUAUUGCACAAUGGGCGGAAGCCUGAUGCAGCGACGCCGCGUGGGGGAUGACGGCCUUCGGGUGGUAAACUCCUUUCGACCGCGAGGAAGCCACCUGGAUGGAAGGGUGGUGACGGUAGUGGUAGAAGAAGCACCGGCUAACUACGUG
rnacentral:rRNA from 1 species